rnacentral:lncRNA from 1 species
GCCAGACUUGGGUCACCUGCCCAUUGCUGAAGCAAACACCAGCAAGGAGGAAUGGCUUACAAUCAUGACCUCUCUUGGAGCUUGUGAGUUCAGGCACGAAAAUUCAUAGAAGAUUCAGUGUGGCUGGAUUUAUGGAGAGAUCUUUGAUCCAUUUGCACUUAAGUUUUGUGCAUGGUGACAGCCAGAACUUCAAGUACAAUAUUGAAGAGAUAUGGAGAGAGUGGACAGCCUUGUCUUGUUCCUGAUUUUAGAGGAAACGCUUUGAGUUUCUCUCCAUUUAGUUUGAUGUUGGCUAUUGGUUUGGUGUAUAUUGCGUGAGUGAGGUAACCCAGUCACAAAAAGACAAGCAUGGUA